rnacentral:rRNA from 1 species
AACGAACGCUGGCGGCAGGCUUAACACAUGCAAGUCGAACGCGUGUAGCAAUACACGAGUGGCGCACGGGUGAGUAACACGUGGAUUAUCUGCCUUUUGGUUCGGAAUAACCCCGGGAAACUGGGGCUAAUACCGGAUGGUUCCUACGGGAUAAAGAUUUAUCGCCAAAAGAUGAGUCCACGCCCGAUUAGCUAGUUUGCGGGGUAAUGGCCCACCAAGGCUACGAUCGGUAGCUGGUCUGAGAGGACGAUCAGCCACACUGGGACUGAGACCCGGCCCAGACUCCUACGGGAAGCAUCAUUGGAGAAUAUUAUACAAUUGGGGCAACCCUAAUCCAGCCAUGCCGCGUGAGUGAUGAAUGCCUUCGGGUUGUAAAGCUCUUUUGGCGGGAACGAUGAUGACGGUACCCGCAGAAUAAGCCCCGACUAACUUCGUGCCAGCCGCCGCCGUAA